ACAAGCGGUAUUUCCUUAGAGCCACUUCAUAAUUCAAGUUACAUUUUUAAAGUAUAAAAAUUUAAAUAGUCUUGUUUCACCCUUUAUAGAGAUAGUAGGCUGGGGUGGGAAUAAUCACUUGUUUACAUGUGAGUUAAGAACAAAAAAUGAAUGUUUACAAGGGAAUUUAGGAACAUAAAAUUUAUUAGGGAGAAUGGAUUCUAUUACUGUAGGAGAUGAAAAUAUUGAGAAGGAAUUGAAACGUCAGAGUUAUAUAUCAGAAAUUUUCCUAGAGUUAAAUCUAGGGAAUGAGAAGAGUUCUAAGGAAAAAUUGCUAGAAUUAGUCAAAAAUUGAGAUUUUAUCGAAGGGGGAAGCAAGUAGAAGUUUCCCAGUUUAAAGUGUGCGUUGUUCUUGACUUACUUCCUAUGUAUUUUGCUUGGAUGGUUCACUUGAAAUUGAUAUUGGAAAUUUAAACGCAUGUUUUAUUUUCUUAGAAGUUUCUUUACUAAUAUUUGAAAGUAUUUAAGUAAGGUUUAUUUUCAUUUGAGAGUUAGAUCGAAAUGAAUGUUGAAAAUGUUGUUUCACUGUCAGUUUACUGCAGCCUUUUUCCCUUGAGAACUGGCAUCAUUUGGCAGGGGUUUAGUCCCUGAUUUCUUAUGGAAAAUGUUCAUCUAUAUCUUGUUUAUAA